GGGGUUGUUUGGUUUUGACAGCGAGUAGAAUGAAUAUGUAAGCAUGCAGUGCGCUGUGGACAGGCACUAUAAUCUCGAUCCUCAAACUAUAACUGGCGAAAAUAAUUACGCUCUUGCUGCCUAAUCGAAGUACAGUAGAUUACUGGCUUAAUCCGUGUCAAGGACUCGGACAAGACAUCACCCGAAAAGCAAACGCCCCGAUGCGUUUCGAUAUGGUGGUGUAGGUAAAUCGGGGAUAGCAUCGUUUUGUCUCGAAGGCGAUGCGAAAUUUUAGAGACUAAGAUGUCAAUUGGUGGCUUCGGUCUUGUUGGCAUACGAAAAUUAAAGCGAAGAUAAGCAUGUAGAAAGCAUAUCCCUUCCUUGUUUGGACGAGGGUUCGACUCCCUCCAGCUCCACGA
rnacentral:tmRNA from 1 species